GACGAACGCUGGCGGCGUGCUUAACACAUGCAAGUCGAACGGUAAGGCCCUUCGGGGUACACGAGUGGCGAACGGGUGAGUAACACGUGGGUGAUCUGCCCUGCACUUCGGGAUAAGCCAGGGAAACUGGGUCUAAUACCGGAUAGGACCCUGGGAUGCAUGUCCUGGGGUGGAAAGCUUUUGCGGUGUGGGAUGGGCCCGCGGCCUAUCAGCUUGUUGGUGGGGUGAUGGCCUACCAAGGCGACGACGGGUAGCCGGCCUGAGAGGGUGAGCGGCCACACUGGGACUGAGAUACGGCCCAGACUCCUACGGGAGGCAGCAGUGGGGAAUAUUGCACAAUGGGCGCAAGCCUGAUGCAGCGGCGCCGCGUGAGGGAUGACGGCCUUCGGGUUGUAAGCCUCUUUCAGCACCGACGAAGCGCAAGUGACGGUAGGUGCAGAAGAAGGACCGGCCAACUACGUGCCAGCCGCCGCCGUAA
rnacentral:rRNA from 1 species